rnacentral:tRNA from 1 species
UUAAUUAAAACCAAACAAGAGGUAUGUUAUUGUUAAUAACAGAAUUGAAAAUUCAUUCUAAUUAAA